GACGAACGCUGGCGGCGUGCUUAACACAUGCAAGUCGAACGGACAGGCCCUGCUCUUGUGGGGUUCUCGAGUGGCGAACGGGUGAGUAACACGCGAGUAACCUGCCCCUGUCUUUGGGAUAACUUCAGGAAACUGGGGCUCAUACCCGGUAGGAGAUCUUGCUCCAUGUUGUGGGUUGGUAAGUUUCGGCGGUUCGGGAUGGACUCGCGGCUUAUCAGCUUGUUGGGGGGGUAGUGGCUUACGAGGGCUUUGACGGGUAGCCGGCCUGGGAGGGUGACCGGCCACAUUGGGACUGAGAUAGGGCGCAGACUCCAACGGGACGCAGCAGGGGGGAGUUUGGCAGAAUGGGGCGAAGCGAGAUGCAGCAACCCCGCGUGCGGGAUAAUGGCCUUCGGGUUGUAAACCGAUUUGGCCGGUACCAAGCCGGGAGUGACGGUAAUGGGUAAAGAAGCAACGGCUAACUACGUG
rnacentral:rRNA from 1 species